AGAUACUGACUGCAUUCCUUGGCUUGUGGUCCCCUUCUGUCUUCACAUCCAGCAAUGACAUAUGGAGUCCAUCACAUUGCAUGACUCUGACGUUUCUUCAAUGAUUGUACCAGACAGAAGCUGCUUGCCCUAAAACACGGGCUGAGGGUUUACCGGAUGGUUUUCUUAUGGGUGCUGUAGACAGAUCCAUGGUUGCAGAGAAAUCAAUGGGAAAAAACAAAGGAAUUUUUUUAAAAAAGGAAUGGAAAUUGAAUGUGCUUUCAAAUUCCUGCUGUUGGACCAUAUUUUUAAAACAAGAUUCUCUAUAAUCUUGUUAGACAUUAAACCACCAAAGAAGAUUGACUUCAAAGUUUAUUUUCUGUUCCCAGAUAAUGAAGCCAUUUUUUUCCAAAGAAAAAAAAAAAAUAAUGAAAGUAAGAGACACUCCCCUUUGCAUGAUUCUGCAGAAGCUGAAUUUGUUACUAACUGCAACCUCUAGGUACUUUGCAGCUAACUAAGCCAAGAAUGUGUGCACAGUCAGUUCAGUGGCUUGACCCUGAAAAACAAAGUUCUUCAGUUAGAUCCUAAUGAGAAGAAAAUCCAUAGAGAGAGAAAAAAAGAAAGAAGAUCAUAAAGAGACAUGACUGCACUUUCAAUCAAUUAGGAGAAAAACCUGAUAUUUUGUGUCACCCUUGGUAUAAAAUAUGAUUAUAUCUGCUGCUUCAGACAAGCUAGCAAUUCUCAUCCCUGACUGGUACCUAAAUGCAAAUUAAAGCUGCCUUCCUUGGAAGGUAUUAAUACUGGCA